rnacentral:rRNA from 1 species
GUUGAACGCUGGCGGCGUGCCUAAUACAUGCAAGUCGAGCGAGCGGCGGACGGGUGAGUAAUGUAUGGGGACUGCCCGAUAGAGGGGGAUAACUACUGGAAACGGUGGCUAAUAACGCAUACAAUCAGGUAACCCAGAUGGGAUUAGCGAGUAGGUGGGGUAAAGGCUCACCUAGGCGACGAUCUCUAGCUGGUUUGAGGGGAUGAUCAGCCACACUGGGACUGAGACACGGCCCAGACUCCGACGGAGGCAGCAGUGGGUACUAGUGCAGAAUGGGGGCAAGCCUGAUGCAGCCAUGCCGCGUGUAUGAAGAAGGACUUAGGGGUGUAAAGUACUUUCAGUGGGGAGGCGUUACCCGUAGAAGAAGCACCGGCUAACUCCGUGCCAGCAGCCGCGGUAAUUC